UACAGAGGGGGCAAGCGUUAUCCGGAUUUACUGGGUUUAAAGGGUGCGUAGGUGGAUAAGAAAGUCAGUGGUGAAAUCUUCGGGCUUAACCCGGAAACUGCCAUUGAUACUAUUUAUCUUGAAUACUUUGGAGGUAAGCGGAAUAUGUCAUGUAGCGGUGAAAUGCUUAGAUAUGACAUAGAACACCAAUUGCGAAGGCAGCUUACUACACAGUUAUUGACACUGAGGCACGAAAGCGUGGGGAUCAAACAGG
rnacentral:rRNA from 1 species